rnacentral:rRNA from 1 species
GAGUUUGAUCAUGGCUCAGGAUGAACGCUGGCGGCGUGCUUAACACAUGCAAGUCGAACGAAGCACUUUAUUUGAUUUCCUUCGGGACUGAUUAUUUUGUGACUGAGUGGCGGACGGGUGAGUAACGCGUGGGUAACCUGCCUUGUACAGGGGGAUAACAGUUGGAAACGGCUGCUAAUACCGCAUAAGCGCACGGCAUCGCAUGAUGCAGUGUGAAAAACUCCGGUGGUAUAAGAUGGACCCGCGUUGGAUUAGCUAGUUGGUGAGGUAACGGCCCACCAAGGCGACGAUCCAUAGCCGACCUGAGAGGGUGACCGGCCACAUUGGGACUGAGACACGGCCCAAACUCCUACGGGAGGCAGCAGUGGGGAAUAUUGCACAAUGGGCGAAAGCCUGAUGCAGCGACGCCGCGUGAGCGAAGAAGUAUUUCGGUAUGUAAAGCUCUAUCACCAGGGAAGAUAAUGACGGUACCUGACUAAGAAGCACCGGCUAAAUACGUGCCAGCAGCCGCGGUAAUACGUAUGGUGCAAGCGUUAUCCGGAUUUACUGGGUGUAAAGGGAGCGCAGGCGGUGCGGCAAGUCUGAUGUGAAAGCCCGGGGCUCAACCCCGGUACUGCAUUGGAAACUGUCGUACUACAGUGUCGGAGGGGUCAGCGGAAUUCCUAGUGUAGCGGUGAAAUGCGCAGAUAUUAGGAGGACACCCAUGGCCGAGGCUGCUUACUGGACCAUAACUGACGCUGAGGCUCGAAAGCGUGGGGAGCAACAGGAUUAGAUUCCCCUGGUAGUCCACGCGUAACGAUGAAUAAUAGCUGUUGGGAAGCAUGGUUUCUCGGUGCCGUCGCUAACGCAGUAAGUAUUGUCACCUAGGGAGUACGUUAGCAAGAAUGAAACUCAAAGGAAUUGACGGGGGACCCGCCCAAGCGGUGGAGCACGUGGGUUAAUUCGAAGCAACGCGAAGAACCUUACCAAGUCUCGACAUCCUUCUGCCCGGUACUUAACCGUUCCUUUUUUUCGGAACAGGAGUGACAGGUGGUGCAUGGUUGUCGUCAGCUCGUGCCGUGAGAUGUUGGGUUAAGUCCCGCAAAGAGCGCAACCCUUAUCUUUAGUAGCCAGCGGUUAAGCCGGGCACUCUAGAGAGACUGCCAGGGAUAACCUCGAGGAAGGCGGGGAUGACGUCAAAUCAUCAUGCCCCUUAUGACUUGGGCUACACACGUGCUACAAUGGCGUAAACAAAGGGAAGCAAAGCUGUGAAGCCGAGCAAAUCUCAAAAAUAACAUAUCAGUUCGGACUGUAGUCUGCAACCCGACUACACGAAGCUGGAAUCGGUAGUAAUCGCAGAUCAGAAUGCUGCGGUGAAUACGUUCCCGGGUCUUGUACACACCGCCCGUCACACCAUGGGAGUUGGGAAUGCCCGAAGCCAGUGACCUAACCGAAAGGAAGGAGCUGUCGAAGGCAGGCUCGAUAACUGGGGUGAAGUCGUAACAAGGUAACC